CUGUCUGUCUGUUUGUCUGUCUGUCUGUUUUUAUGUUUGUUGGUCCGUAUGUUUGUUUGUCUGUCUGUUUGUCGGUCUGUAUGUCUGUCUGUUUGUCUGUCUGUCUGUUUAUCUGUCUGUCUGUUUUUAUUCUGUUUGUCUGUCUGUCUGUUUGUCUGUCUGUCUAUCUGUCUGUUUGUCUGUCUGUAUGUAUGUUAUUAUACGUGCUUUAAUAAAAUAUAUAUAACAGUUUGUGUAAAUUUGGUUAUACUAAUCUGUGUCUAAUUAAUUGGUCUAGUGUGGUCAUACAGCUGUUGCUAAUCUUUUCAAGCAAGGAACUUACUACUUCCUCAGUGCUGGUAUGUCUCAUCAUUUAUCAAAUAUCUUUAAUUGUGUGUGUGUGUGUGUGUGUGUGUGUGUGUGUGUGUGUGUGUGUGUGUGUGUGUGUGUUUGCAUGAAAUCAAUUCCAUCAUCUAUUGAGAUACCUUGACAUUGUAGCAACAUAAAAUUAUGUUUGUUUACUCAUCUGUCUGCUGGCCUGUCAGUCUGUCUGUCUGCUAGUUUACUGUUCUUGCAUGUACACACAUUAGCAUCGUCUGUUAACAUGUUGUGUGGUUUCAAUCAUGUGUAGGAAUAAUCAUUGCAUUUGGUGUCAUCUACUUUCUUAUGGCUGGCCUAACAGCCGGUACAAGCAUCGCAUCCGGACUUGUCAUCCCAACUCUUACAAUUGGAGGUUGUAUUGGAUGUGUGUAUUCUAUUGCUAUCAAUGGUUAGUGAUAGUUUUGUGUGAUAUUGAUGAUUAGUUGUUUAGUGAUAUUUUUAUGUGAAUUAGAAUGGAUUAAACAUCCUACUGGUCAACAUGUUGCUGAUCCUGAAACUCAACCCUCCUACUGGCUCAAGAUACGCUUCGUUCAACAGACUGUUGCUAAUUGACAUCCUUCCUCCCUCAUUGUGACAAACGACCACGACAACAACCACUCAAUUAACUCACAACUUUCACAUGCAACAAACAAAAUUUUUAUGCAAGUAAACUUAGAUGAGGAUAAGACACACAACACACCAGCAAAACAGUCUUUGUAUGUUUUCAGUCCAUUCUUGUGCUCGCCGAGUGCAACGCCGGCAUCAGGGUCUUGCAUGGCGGCUAUCAGUUCACUAAACAUCAUCGACUUAGUUUAGUCAUGAAAGUAGAUACAUUGAGUGACAAGUACAGCAAAGUAAGCAAAUUGGUUGUAACAUAUGACAUGAGGUAGAAGGUUUGUGUAGAAGUGAUUAUAUUACAGUGAUUGAUAUCAAUAAAUUAUUCUCUUGUUAUAAAGUUGAGUAAGUGGCAUGUUGUCAGGUAAAACACUUUUGAUUAAUUAUAAACUUAUGUAACAUGUUUUUGGUUUCACAGUCUCUUCACCACUGGUCACCACAGACAGUCAGACAGAGACAGACAAACAGACAGAGAGACAGACAGAUAGACAGACAGACAGAGAGACAAACAGACAGACAGACAAAUUAUUUUAUUUUUACAGAUCCUCUACUUGUACACAUCCUAAACUUCUAUGAUAAACCAGUCCUUAACAGCGAAAUACUUUAAAACAUUAGUGGACUUGGAUCUGUAGAUUAAAGUCAAAAAGCUUGUCCAUGUCA